rnacentral:rRNA from 1 species
CAGUCGCCGCGGUAAUACCGAGGGUGCAAGCGUUAAUCGGAAUUACUGGGCGUAAAGCGCGCGUAGGUGGUUUGUUAAGUUGGAUGUGAAAUCCCCGGGCUCAACCUGGGAACUGCAUCCAAAACUGGCAAGCUAGAGUAUGGUAGAGGGUGGUGGAAUUUCCUGUGUAGCGGUGAAAUGCGUAGAUAUAGGAAGGAACACCAGUGGCGAAGGCGACCACCUGGACUGAUACUGACACUGAGGUGCGAAAGCGUGGGGAGCAAACAGGAUUAGAUACCCCUGUAGUCCCUGUCUCUUAUAC